rnacentral:rRNA from 2 species
CCUCCGUAGGUGAACCUGCGGAAGGAUCAUUG